rnacentral:lncRNA from 1 species
CGGCGCGGGUGGAAUUCCCGCGAUCUGUCUCAUUCCCUGCGCCGCCGAGAAAAGUGAGAUCCCGCGAGACUCCCAGGGGUCUCAUUCUGUCACCCAGGUUGGAGUGCAGUGGCAACAUCAUAGCUCACUGCAGCCUUGAACCCCUGGGCUCAAGUGAUCCUCCUGCUUCAGCCUCCUGAGUAGCUGGGGCUACAGGCACUUUCCCUACAUUUUCAAAGGCCUGCAUCAUCACAUCUGCCACAGCAUUCUCUAUCAUUGAGGCAUUUUCUCAGGAAAUCACCUGUGAAAUAUUUUGCAGCUAACCACCUACCUGUGCCCCACCAGCCAACAUGCUUUACUCCUGCCAGGCAGGUUCUCUGUAGCCCUCUGGAUUCUGUCUGCCUCUGUUAUAUCUUCACGAACAAGUUAUGCAGCCUCAACUAAAGCUUGUAACAAAGCAAAGUUACUCUCCUGAGUGUGUCCUCUGAUGGAUGGUGAGAUAUAACUUCAAGAUGAAGCCUCACCCACACUCCCUGUACAAAAACGCUUCUCACCUGUGUCACUCUGGAAGCUUUGAUCAGAAAAUUGUAGUUGCUGUUGCCUCUGAUGUGCAAGUCCAAGAUUCUUGGGCCGCAGGACAUGUUCUGCAUAUAUUCCUGGAGAAUAGACCA